ACGAGCAGUGUCGGAAACUUCUCGAUAAUCAUCGUCCUGGACACACCCUAACUCAGUCUUUCCGGACGCCAUCUUUUCCUCCCCUCAGAGCACAAGAGACAUCCGAGAAGUUGGCGUCGGGUGUCGCGGCCCCGCAGAACCAGGUUUAGAGCAGACUCAUCGCAGCUCUCGCUCCCGACCAGCCGAUCAUGGCCAUUUUUCCGGUUGCCAUUGCAUUCUUUGUGGGACUCGCCAUAGGAGCUGUAAUUGUAGCACUGGCAAAUGAUAAGACCAUGGACUUCUCCAUAAAUGCUGAGGGUGCACGUAUCCAUGUGGGGAAAAAACAAAAGGCCUGACUCUGCACUGCAAGCAUCAGCAGCAGACACUGUGCUGUCUGUUAAAAGAACUGGUGACCAUGGCAGUGAAUAGAAGAUUUCCUUCCUUUCAAGUAGCCUGAUUCAAUGUCUUCCCCCUGCUGGAACUGGAAAGCCCCCCAGCUUCCCCUUUAACAGCAGUUGGAUUACUUUGAGCAAUAAAUGCUUUGAAAGCUUUAACAAAAGUG